CUUGUAUAAUGGCAAUCUUGGGAGUGUUAUGGGAAACUUAAGAAACUAUUGGGACUAGAUGCCUCUCUCUCUGCUCAGUCAAAGCCAGGGCGAGAAAAGGAACCAAAGAGGUUGUAAGGAUUGUGUAGCGAAUUACCUAUUUAGCCACCAAAGGA